rnacentral:rRNA from 1 species
AACGAACGCUGGCGGCAUGCCUAACACAUGCAAGUCGAACGAGACCUUCGGGUCUAGUGGCGCACGGGUGCGUAACGCGUGGGAACCUGCCCUUAGGUUCGGAAUAACUCCCCGAAAGGGGUGCCAAUACCGGAUCAUGUCUUCGGACCAAAGAUUUAUCGCCUUUGGAUGGGCCCGCGUUGGAUUAGCUAGUUGGUAGGGUAAAAGCCUACCAAGGCGACGAUCCAUAGCUGGUCUGAGAGGAUGAUCAGCCACACUGGGACUGAGACACGGCCCAGACUCCUACGGGAGGCAGCAGUGGGGAAUAUUGGACAAUGGGCGAAAGCCUGAUCCAGCAAUGCCGCGUGAGUGAUGAAGGCCUUAGGGUUGUAAAGCUCUUUUACCCGGGAUGAUAAUGACAGUACCGGGAGAAUAAGCUCCGGCUAACUCCGUG